rnacentral:lncRNA from 1 species
CAGGAUGAGCGAGAUCAAGAAUGAUAAGGAGUUCCAGCCCGCCUGUAAGGAGGCAUAGGGGGCACUGACCUGGAAGAUGAGCACUUUGAAAUGGUUGCGUCGGAGGAGCUGGGCGUGGUUGUUCUCCAGCCGCUUCACCUGUGCGCACUGCCUAUCCAUGCGCUCUUUGACCGCGCGCGUGUGGGCGCUGACCUUGCGGGACUUCUCCAGCAGCUUGCUCACCGUGUUGCUGGUGGAGGCCUGGUACUUGGAGAGCUUGGUGAGGUCAUUCUGGAUGCCCUUCACGGAGCCCUCCAAACUGAUCUGUCGCUGCUCCAUCUUGUGCUGGUUCUCCUGCACAGCGUCUAGCAUGUUCACCAGCUUGUCCAGGAGCGUGAGCACCGUGACUGCGUUCACCUGGUAUAUUUCACACUGAAUGAUACUGGAACACAACCCAG